UGCUUACACUUGAUCUCUGAACUUCUGGUGAGCUCACCUGUUGAGAAGUAUAUCUGCUGAUGCG
rfam:Gossypium raimondii chromosome 9, whole genome shotgun sequence.